AUGUGACCAUAUAACGUGGAAAUACCGGUUUUCGUACGAUCACCGAAGUUAAGCAACCUUUAGCCUGGUACCUAGACGGGUAACCGCUUGGGAAUUCCAAGUGCUGUAAU